CAUUAGCCGACACAUUACAAUGGUGCAAGUAAAGAAUCUGGAGGAUCCCUAUAAAUCAGAGAAAGACAGGAAAAUGCACAACUAGGUGAAAUGGAGACCAUGAGACGUGGCCGCUCUCUCGUCGCAACCAGCUGCUCGCCAGUCUGGCCAUCCGCAUUGCUCCUUCAACUGGGGUAACAUGACAUCCACAUGACAUCAAGGCGCAAGACCUGACCAAGUUCGAUUACUGCAACGCCUUCCGACCGGCGUUCCACGAGCAAGUCUUUCUCGUCAAGGUCGUGGAGAAAUGGCGCAAGUUUGAGCUAACCUGGGUGCGUCCGUACUAUCACAGCAAUCCGGAUAAAUUAGUCUGCUACUGAUCAAGUACAACGGAAACGGUGGCCUCUCUCCAAUGCCAUGCUGGCAAGGACGAGAUCAGCUUCACUCUACACUCUCCCCACCGACGAGGGAUUCAAGCACAUCAAUAAGUUGUAGGAAGAGCGGCCGAAGAUUGAGGUCGCCGAAUUCCGUCUCCCGGAUCGUCUCUAUAAACAUGGUGUCGAUGGUCUUCAAAAGCAAAUACUACUCACCGUCAGAGAGCUCUAAUGCGGCACCGAAGAGCAGCAUUUGUCCGAGCUGAUCGGCCACCUGAACAGUUUUAAAUUCAAUCGUACGAGCAGGGCAUGACGGGCACCUGCGGGCCCGACAGGACGUCAAAUUUGGAGAACCUCAGGCCUACUUUUGAUUCUUUUUUAUCACGCCGCUGCUGAGUCAGAGAGCGAGAAAAGAAAAUGCACAUUCACAAGGAAAUGGUGCUCGCCGCAGAGGCCACUCUCGACUGCCGAUUCUUGGUUAGCGACAAUGGUUUGUGGCUACUUGUGAGCGGAUAAAAUGAAAAGCUCCAUCUGAUUGUGGAGGACAUUGCCGAAGGUAUGGUCAAUAUGGGCGCCUGGUUACCGCAAGAUACAGAGAGAGUCCUACUUAGAAAGCCUGGAAUAUCCAUCACAGUUAGCAACGGACGUCCCUCAAAGACAUCACUCUGGGGGAUCUGAAGGUAUUUGUGCAUAAGCUACCGCAGGAGCUGUACAUCAAGGCCCUCAUUCAGGGCCAACUCAAAUACAAGCCCCAUAUGGAUGAUCGCAUCGCAAAUCUUCCGCAGGGCAGCCACGCCAUCCACUGAAAAUAGCUACGAGCAUGCUGUAAGAUCUCUGUGAGAUUGCCAGGUAGGAGGACGAUGAGCGCUGUGGCGCCGUUUGUUAUCCUAUGGUUAAGGCAAUAAGGCUCGCAAGGCUAUGGAAAUACAAAUAUUAGUCGACAAUCUAUCGUCCACUAUAAAGAAAGGCAACAAUCUUCUAGAGUCAUCGAUACGAAAGAAUGAUAACAAAAUCUAUGAUAUAGCGGGGAAGAAAUGAAAGACCAGAUUAAAAAUCUUGGGUCACAAAAUAAAGAGCUAAAGAAGACAUUUCAAGAGUAUCAAAAGUCCCUUGAAGAGCAGUCAGAUGUCAUAAAGCGUAUGGAUGAUCUCCCAUUCGUCAACUCAACUGAUUUUCUUGUUGUCAUUGUGCCCCGAAUUGACCCAUUCCCAGUGCCCUGAAAUUCAAUUGUUUCCGGAUCUGGCUAGACUGUAAUCCUGUACUUCGGAAACCACCAGGAGAGCCUCUUCCUGGGAUUGGAAAAAAUCCAUCUAAUGACCAUGGCCCUUCCUCGCGGGCUGCACAUCCAACUUCAAGAUGUUAAUGGAACCACGCGCCAUGCUCGCUACGCUUAAAGUAGGGAGCGGAAAUUAAGCCUGCGAACUUAAAUUGCUGGGAAAAUAUUCAGGAAGACCAAACUAAUUUAUCACCUGAACAUGAAGUUUUCACAGUGGUCUGGGACUGUGAUAGUGACACUUUUCUCGCUGAAAAUCAAAAAGGUGGUUGGUGGUUUUCUGGUCACGGAUAUUGGUAGUGUACUCGUAUUUUAUGCAGAAUUGACGCUAUUCAUAACUUGGAAUUUAUUAUAUUCCUUUUAUUAUUAUUACAGUUUCCUUAAUGGAAAAUAUUAUGAAAUGCUAAAAGUGCACAACUCAAAGACGGCAUUUAUUAGAUUUAUUGA